CGGGCUUGAACCAAGAGUGACGAGUGCAGAGAUGCGCUUUUUCUUCGGACACUUUUGGAGGUGCUGCAUGGUUGUCGUCAGCUCGUGCCGUGAGGUGUCGGCUUAAGUGCCAUAACGAGCGCAACCCUUUUCUACGUUUGCCAUCGGGUAAUGCCGGGAACUCCGUGGAUACUGCCGCCGCAAGGCGGAGGAAGGUGGGGAUGACGUCAAAUCAGCACGGCCCUUACGUCCGGGGCUACACACGUGUUACAAUGGUCGGAGCAGCAGGAAGCUACCUGGCGACAGGAUGCUGAUCCCGAAACCCGGCCUCAGUUCGGACUGGAGUCUGCAACCCGACUCCACGAAGCCGGAUUCGCUAGUAAUCGCGCAUCAGCCAUGGCGCGGUGAAUACGUUCCCGGGCC
rnacentral:rRNA from 1 species